GACGAACGCUGGCGGCGUGCUUAACACAUGCAAGUCGAACGGAAAGGCCCUGCUUUUGUGGGGUGCUCGAGUGGCGAACGGGUGAGUAACACGUGAGUAACCUGCCCUUGACUUUGGGAUAACUUCAGGAAACUGGGGCUAAUACCGGAUAGGAGCUCCUGCUGCAUGGUGGGGGUUGGAAAGUUUCGGCGGUUGGGGAUGGACUCGCGGCUUAUCAGCUUGUUGGUGGGGUAGUGGCUUACCAAGGCUUUGACGGGUAGCCGGCCUGAGAGGGUGACCGGCCAAAUUGGGCCUGGGACACGCCCCAGACUCCUAGGGGGGGCAGCGGGGGGGAAUAUUGCACAAGGGGCGGAAGCCUGAUGCAGCAACGCCGCGUGCGGGAUGACGGCCUUCGGGUUGUAACCCUCUUCCGCCUGUGACGAAGCGUGAGUGACGGUAAGGGGUAAAGAAGCACCGGCUAACUACGUG
rnacentral:rRNA from 1 species